CUCAAGUUUGUGUACCUGCUGUAAAUAUGGACAAACAGCCAUUUGUGGGAUUUAGGUGGGCUUGCGAUGAGUUCAGCAAUGCCCAUAAAGAACCCACAUCACAUGA